rnacentral:rRNA from 1 species
AUGGCAUCUCCUUUAACAAAUUUGUCACGAGUAAAUUGCAAAAAACCAUCACAUUUAUGGACUCUAAAUCAAAAAACCAUCACGUUUUUUUUUUUUGCAAAAAACAUCCGGUAUUGUACUGAUAGUUUGCUAAAAACACCGAUCCGUCAAUUAGAGCUGUUUAACACGAAAACUGACAACUGGGUCCCUACGCAAGUGAUGACGUGGCAUGGAAACAACUCACACCGUUGGCUCAAAUAUUACGCUGGCUUAGGGCCCACUCGUCAUCCUCUCUCCCACCAUUCUUCCUCCUCUUGCCAACGCGAACGCUCCCGUGUCCUCGCCGGCCUUGGCUAG